CAUGGCUGUCGUCAGCUCGUGUCGUGAGAUGUUGGGUUAAGUCCCGCAACGAGCGCAACCCCCACUGUUAGUUGCCAGCAUUUAGUUGGGCACUCUAGCAGAACUGCCGGUGACAAGCCGGAGGAAGGCGGGGAUGACGUCAAGUCCUCAUGGCCCUUACGGGUUGGGCUACACACGUGCUACAAUGGUGGUGACAGUGGGCAGCGACCACGCGAGUGGAAGCGAAUCUCCAAAAGCCAUCUCAGUUCGGAUUGCACUCUGCAACUCGGGUGCAUGAAGUUGGAAUCGCUAGUAAUCGCGGAUCA
rnacentral:rRNA from 1 species